rnacentral:rRNA from 1 species
AUUGAACGCUGGCGGCAGGCCUAACACAUGCAAGUCGAAUGGUAACAGGAAACAGCUUGCUGUUUCGCUGACGAGUGGCGGACGGGUGAGUAAUGUCUGGGAAACUGCCUGAUGGAGGGGGAUAACUUCUGGAAACGGUAGCUAAUACCGCAUAACGUCGCAAGACCAAAGAGGGGGACCUUCGGGCCUCUUGCCAUCAGAUGUGCCCAGAUGGGAUUAGCUAGUAGGUGGGGUAACGGCUCACCUAGGCGACACUCCCUAGCUGGUCUGAGAGGGAGACCAGCCACACUGGAAGUGAGACACAGUCCAGACUCCUACGGGAGGCAGCAGUGGGGAAUAUUGCGCAAUGGGCGAAAGCCUGAUGCAGCCAUGCCGCGUGUAUGAAGAAGGCCUUAGGGUUGUAAAGUACUUUCGGCGGGGAGGAAGGGAGUAAAGUUAAUACCGUUGCUCAUUGACGUUACCCGCAGAAGAAGCACCGGCUAACUCCGUG